GUUGUGUUAAACGAUGCCAACGCGUCAGAUAAUGAGGUUUGUGCAUUCGGAAGUGGGACCUGAAAGCAGCUUUUUUUUUAACACCGAGUGCCACUGACCUCAACGCAACCCGGACUUCCUUAUAUGGGAAUGCCCAGGCAAACUCUGUAGGCCUGCCCUCCCCCUGCUCUGCUUCGCUCUGCUCUGUUCACCAUGUUAGCACGUAUGGCUCCCAGGAAAUGUUUGUACGGGUGCGCUUAAAGAGGCGAGCAUCAGGCAGAAGUGGUUGGAGUUGCUGAUUCCCGGCCAGCACCGGCAUUUCACACGGGACUGCUUUGUGAACAUGGGUCAAUACGAAGCUAAUUGUUGCUCAAGUCCGACGCCUGUCCAACGUUACUUGGUCGUGUUGAAGAGUCAGAAGAGCAAGCUGUGAGUAACAGUUUAGCAGUGUCCUAACUGUGUUUAUUUUGUGUAGGUAAGCGGACAAAAGGGGUUCGGCAGCUGUGACCAAUCACAGCGGAGCGGUCUCGGCGGGAGGCAGGAAACCCGAGGAAACACUGCAGGAAGAGCUGGGAUACAACCUGCACCUUCUGCCUUUAAAGGCAGCAGCUGUACCUUUACACCAGCAGGAACCAACCGGUGAACAGUGAAGCACCUUAAAGAUGGCCGCCACCCAGCAAGAAGACCAAGCUCGCCCUCUAGUGGCUGCAAACGGAACAGGACAGGAAUGGAACGGCCUUUCCCCCUGAGUGCUCGAUGACUUUGUUUCAUUCUUUACUUUUAAACAUCAUUUUACUCCUGAGGCGGAUAGUUUGACACAUUUGUGACUUCAAAAGUCUACAAAAAUGAAGAGAAGGGGCCAUAAUAGUAUGUAUUUUGUCUUGUUUUGAAAGUGAUAGUGUAGGCCCGUGAGGUAAAAUGCAGAUAAAACAGGUUCGUUCUUGCUCGUCCCAGACUCUUACCUGUGUGACUGCUCAUGGAAAACAAACCUAAGACACUUAGUUUCUCACGCGCGCACACUUCCUUCCUCCAGGCUGACUUUUCUCAGCCAAUCCUGCAGCGCUUUCAUGCAAAUCCCUCCUGGAAUGUCGAACCCACAUGAGAACCACAACUCAUUUGGGCCCGGAUUACUUUUUCUUUUUUUUUUUUUAAAGACUUCAUCCUGAUCCUUGUUGGACUCAACACGCUGGCGGCCAUCUUUUUUCAAACCCGACUUUAGUCGACUACUUUUUUUGGACAGGAAAUGAGAAAACCUGAACAUGUCUCACAAACACAUCCUGGUCUAAAAAGCACUCUCUGACAAGUCUUCCAAUAUGCUAAGCACACUGACCAAAAGUCCUGUCUUCCCAGGACAUGCUCUGUUCCUGUUUUGGCUGUCCUGGAUUUUACUCUUUUUUUUUUUAAGAAAGUGAUGAAAAUAUCCUGAUUUUUCAUCUCAUUUUGUAGGUUGGAACAAGGAGGAGGGCGGCAACCCCUCGGCCCGGGCCCCAGGGGGCCCUGUAGCCUGGUGUUUUUGCACUGUAAUACUUCAUACCCGUUUGAUGGACUCCAAAUUGCACAGUGGCUCUCGUGGUGCCGCUGUGUAUGUUGUAAAACGAUGUGAUCAUGAGCUUUAUUAUUUGGGUUGAAAGGGCCCACCCCCGGCCCAGCUGUGAUUUGUUCCGCUAGUGCAGCGGUCGUCAACCUUUUUACAACCAAA